UACGAGGGGGGCGAGCGUUGUUCGGAAUUAUUGGGCGUAAAGCGCACGUAGGCGGUUCGUUAUGUCGGAUGUGAAAGCCCCUGGCUUAACCGAGGAAGUGCAUCCGAAACUGGCGAGCUAGAGUACGAAAGAGGAUCGCGGAAUUCCCGGUGUAGAGGUGAAAUUCGUAGAUAUCGGGAGGAACACCGGUGGCGAAGGCGGCGAUCUGGGUCGAUACUGACGCUGAGGUGCGAAAGCGUGGGGAGCGAACAGG
rnacentral:rRNA from 1 species